rnacentral:misc_RNA from 1 species
GAUGAAGAACGCAGUGAAAUGCGAUAAUUAAUGUGAAUUGAAGAAUUCAGUGAAUCAUCGAGUCUUUGAACGCACAUUGCGCCCCCUGGUAUUCCGGGGGGCAUGCCUGUCCGAGCGUCAUUGCUGCCCUCAAGCACGGCUUGUGUGUUGGGCUUCCGUCCCUGGCAACGGGGACGGGCCCAAAAGGCAGUGGCGGCACCAUGUCUGGUCCUCGAGCGUAUGGGGCUUUGUCACCAGCUCCCGUAGGUCCAGCUGGCAGCUAGCCUCGCAACCAAUCUUUUUAACCAGGUUGACCUCGGAUCAGGUAGGGAUACCCGCUGAACUUAAGCAUAUCAAUAAGCGGAGGA